rnacentral:rRNA from 1 species
GGUGAACGCUAGCUACAGGCUUAACACAUGCAAGUCGAGGGGUAGCAGGGUAGCAAUACCGCUGACGACCGGCGCACGGGUGAGUAACACGUAUCCAACCUUCCCAUAACUAGGGGAAAGCCUUUCGAAAGAAAGAUUAAUACCCGAUAGUACGUUUCCAAGGCAUCUUGAGAAAGUUAAAGAUCAAUUGGUUAUGGAUGGGGAUGCGUUCCAUUAGAUAGUUUGUGAGGUAACGGCUCACCAAGUCUUCGAUGGAUAGGGGUUCUGAGAGGAAGGUCCCCCACAUUGGUACUGAGACACGGACCAAACUCCUACGGGAGGCAGCAGUGAGGAAUAUUGGUCAAUGGGCGAGAGCCUGAACCAGCCAAGUAGCGUGAAGGAUGAAGGUCCUAUGGAUUGUAAACUUCUUUUAUAGUAGAAUAAAGUGACCUACGUGUAGGUUUUUGUAUGUAUACUAUGAAUAAGGAUCGGCUAACUCCGUGCCAGCAGCCGCAGUAA